AUUGAACGCUGGCGGCAUGCCUUACACAUGCAAGUCGAACGGCAGCAUGAUCUAGCUUGCUAGAUUGAUGGCAAGUGGCGAACGGGUGAGUAAUACAUCGGAACGUGCCCUGUAGUGGGGGAUAACUAGUCGAAAGAUUAGCUAAUACCGCAUACGACCUGAGGGUGAAAGUGGGGGACCGCAAGGCCUCAUGCUAUAGGAGCGGCCGAUGUCUGAUUAGCUAGUUGGUGAGGUAAAGGCUCACCAAGGCGACGAUCAGUAGCUGGUCUGAGAGGACGAUCAGCCACACUGGGACUGAGACACGGCCCAGACUCCUACGGGAGGCAGCAGUGGGGAAUUUUGGACAAUGGGCGAAAGCCUGAUCCAGCAAUGCCGCGUGUGUGAAGAAGGCCUUCGGGUUGUAAAGCACUUUUGCCCGGAAAGAAAUGGCUCUGGUUAAUACCUGGGGUCGAUGACGGUACCGGAAGAAUAAGGACCGGCUAACUACGUG
rnacentral:rRNA from 1 species